CUCCGCCGGGGAAGGAGCCCGACUUCCUCCACGCCGCUCGAGUGUGCGCUGCGAUCGGCAGGAAAUGGCCCGGACGCGAAGCCUGCGCCUUGGCAGUCCGCGCUCGCUCCGCAGAAGAGAACCGUCUCCUACCCAAGCCUCCCCGUCUCCCCAGAGCCUCGCGCAGAGGGAAUGCGAUGAGGAUGUCACAGGAUGGCAGGUGCUAUGGGACGUUACUUCCUCUGCCACGAACACCCCUGGAAACGUGCUCAUUACGCAGCAUUGCAUCUUUCGGCUUUGGUGUAGCUGCUCGCUAAAUGUCCCUGCACUAGAACGUUGUCCUUAUAAGUAGGUGGAGGGACAGUAUGGGCUGGGGGUGAGAGCUCAAAACUAGAAGAGCUUUGAUCAGGUGACAAUUUUGUGCUGUUUAUAGACAAGUUGUUUGUGCUAUCAGUUUCCGUACAGAUCAUGAAAUGGCAAGCCAAUGUGGGUUUUGUUUAAUGUUUGCAAAUUCUAAAUUAUUGAAAUACUUGUUAGUGAAGCCA
rnacentral:lncRNA from 1 species